rnacentral:misc_RNA from 1 species
AGGGCAGUUUUUUUUUUUCUUCUCAGAUUUAAGUGAUUUAAGCAUUUAAGUCCGCCGCGCAUGUGUUCUUGUGUGUUCCUUUUCAAUCGGUGGGGAUGGCGUCGGAAGCGGCAGAUGACUCGGAACGUGGGGCCAGCCAGGGCCCCUCUGGCAGCCUGGGUCCUUGGGCUACAGCCCCCUUAGCCCGUGCAUUAAUCCUGCCCUGGUGGGUGUGCCAAGCAUGACCGGAAGGAAAGUUUUGAAACGAGAUGACCUGUAUGCUGUACCUUGCCACUCAUCGCUGCUAGGAAUUUUUUGACACUUAAGAAGCAUGAAAAAAGCUGUGUCAUGCAGAGGACAUGUUGGGCCUUGAGAGUGAGAUUGAUCUUGGCUAAGGAAGAAGGAAAAAAAAGACAACAGAGAGCACUAAGUUCCAGCCCAGAAGCUGUAAUGAGACCGUCGUUGCCGCCACACUUCAUGAUCAAAAAAGCAGCUGGGAGACGUAGAUGAUCACUACCACAUUCGUUGGCAAGCUCCCAACCUUCAACACCUUCAGUAUCUGUGGCACAUGAUGAAACACUGCCAAAGAAUGGUGAACGAAUUGUACCGCAUGGAAAGAAUCUGCAUUCAACUGCGAUUCCGAAGACAUGUUUCAACAGGACACGUAAGCUAGGCAUUGCCUGUUUCGGGUUUAUGUGUCAGGCUUUAUAAUGCAUUCUUUUCGCUCGGAGAGCCAACCUAACCAGAAAAGCUAUGAACCACAGCAGCGCACCUCAUGGCAUUCAAGCAGAGUGCAGCAAAAUCCAGCAUCUGAGGAACAUACACUAACAAGCCCUAGGCCAUGUACCAGCAACGCAUAUGACUGCGAAAUUCGUGAAAGCUCCAGAUCAGAGGACACCGGCCCGUAGACGAAACGUGGGCCCAGUACUUGCGAUAAGAAGGCUAAACAGGCAGAUGGUUUGGCUUCUGCAGACUAUACUCAUCAGGGUUGAGCAUCAAGGCACCCAACUGGACGCCAUAUCCGCCAGGCUUUCUGAUGGCGGACUCGAGCUUCAAGAAGACUUAGAAGGACCAUUUUCUAAUAUACAAGACUUCGAAACGUUUGAUCAGGACUUGUCGGAGAACAAUGUGAUGAGGUUGAAGUUGAGCCCUUCUCUGUCUGAGGAUCGAGCUGUGUGAAACAACAUACAAGUCUGAAGUUUUUAGUUUCGGAUUAUGUUUUCUUGUGAUAAUUUUUUCAUAGUUUUUAGUCUUUUUCAAAGCUGUGCAAUCUUUCAGAAUUAUAAUCCUGUUCCUGAAAGUAAAGUUUAUAUUUCAGUC